CUGGCGACCGGCGCACGGGUGAGUAACACGUAUCCAACCUGCCGAUAACUCGGGGAUAGCCUUUCGAAAGAAAGAUUAAUACCCGAUGGCAUAAUUAGACCGCAUGGUUUGAUUAUUAAAGAAUUUCGGUUAUCGAUGGAGAUGCGUUCCAUUAGGCAGUUGGUGAGGUAACGGCUCACCAAACCUUCGAUGGAUAGGGGUUCUGAGAGGAAGGUCCCCCACAUUGGAACUGAGACACGGUCCAA
rnacentral:rRNA from 1 species